rnacentral:lncRNA from 1 species
CUCUCUCAAACCUUUCGGACCUCUCACGGAUGCCCUCCAUCUGUCCGCUCUCCUCACUGCCACCUCCCAUCGAUCUCCACCAUCGCCUCCCCCCCAUUAUCACUGGCAUUGGGCUUCUUGCUCCAAUCUCCCUUAGGUGCUUUCCUUCCCAUAGAUCUCUAAGAGAGAUGCUGACCUUCUUCCUGCUCGCCUCACGGUCACCUCUCAUCGAUCUCCAUCAUCACCUUCUUCUCCAUCAUCACUAGCAUCGGCCUUCUCCUUCGAUCUCCCUCAGGUGCUUUUCUUCCCAUAGAUCUUGAAAAAAGAGAAAGAAAUGAAAAGAAAUAAAAAGCCCAACACAAAACCCCAGCCAUCAUCUUAGCUUCCCCAUUCGGCCGCUCUAAGCAUCCCACCUGAUUGGGACUCUUGAGGACAAAAAAAAGAACAACACAAAACCCCAGCCAUCGCCUUCGCUACCCUAUUCAGCCGCUCCAAGCCUCCCACAUGAUUUGGACUCCUGAGGAUGGGAAAAAAAAAUCUAGUGCAAAAUGCCAGCCAUCGUCUUGGCUUCCCUAUUCGGCCACUUUAAGCCUCCCACCCAAUUGGGAUUCUUGAGGAUGGGA